ensembl:lncRNA
GAGACAGGCAGGCUGGAGCAGAGGUAUAUAGCUAGGCAGGCACCCUGAGACUGGAGGAGCGUCGCUUUAAUCAAUGCAUGCAGCAGUGGCCAAGGCACGCCUAGGGCCAGGCAGUCGGACCUGAAAAACCAGCUGCUCAGAAUUACAGUUACCAUGCAGCGUGGCGUCCAGCCUCUACACAUACUCCACAGAGAAGCAACAGAAACCAUCCAACCAACCAACAUUCUGUUGUGUUUUGUCUUCUUCCAACACUGUGCGUGAAGUGUGUCGUUUCUGCGGGUCUUUUUGGACUUUUUGAACGCUUUCCACUUUCAAAUCAUUUUUUUUUCUUCUACUUAAUUUGGCAAAGUAGCCCACUUCUCUCUGCUCCAAUCCCCUCCCCCCAGCUUCGACGGAUUCCUGAGUGGACUAUGUCCACUGUGGCUGAGGGAGUGGGGGGCAGGUGCUUCUUCUGAGGCUCCUGGAAGAAACGUCUGGGACAGAAAAUCUGAGACAGGAUAUUGUUGAAGAUGACUUCAACUGUCUCACCUGUGACCAACUUUACUACAGUAUUCUCCAAUACCACAAUCACCACCAAGUCCAAAGAACAAAUACUCACUCAGAGUUCAGGGGCUAUGAUUGCUGUCAUUGUCAUCGGGAUCAUUAUCCUUCUAACCAUACUACUUGUCACCCUGAGGACAUACAACAGGUCAGGCUGCAUUUCAUAUAAAUAGGCCUCAAUUACAUGCUCAGUGACACAGUCAGCCAUUGCAGGUUCCCUUUCAAUUGUUUGUUUUCGAAAUCUCACAGUGCGAUUCACCAGAAUCUCUAGAAGCUCAAAGAACCAAUCACAACACACACGCGUGUGUGUCGGAGACAGACAGGUCUAGUGGCAAAAAAGAUGAGCCCCUCCCCUCAUACUGAAGAGCCACUCGCCUGACCUCUGGUCAUUCUCAUCUCUCUUCCUUAUCAUGAAGAGUAGUACUCUAGGCUGCUCAGCACGACUUGAUCUGUUUUCAGGUUCAACUGUUCACAGGUGUGCUGCAAGGUUACGCUGCCAAGCGCAGGUUUUUCAGCUCUUGUCUUCUGCAUCACUGGUACUUCCUGUUUGAGUUUUUGCUUGUAAACAGGAAUCAGAAGGAUAGAGUUAUGGUAUGAUUUGCCAAAGGGAGGGCCUUUUAUGUGUUUCUGUAUGUGGAGUAAAGUUGAUCUAGAGUUUUGUUGCCUCUAGUUGCACAGGUGACAUGCUGGUAAAAAAAUAGUUAAAACGGAUUUCAGUUUUACUGCAUUAAAAUCAACGGCCAUGAGAAACACUGCCUCUGAAUUUUCAUUUUCUUGUUUGCUUAUGGCCCUAUACAGCUCAUUGAGUGUGGUCUUAGUGUCAGCAUCGGUUUGUUGUGAUAAAUAGACAGCUACCAAAAAUAUACAUAAACUCUCUUGGUAAAUAAUAUGGUCUGCAGCUUAUCAUGUGUUAUUCUAACUCAGGGAAUCAAAAACUUGAGACUUCUGUAAUGUUAGAGAUCGCACACCAGCUGUUGUUAACAAACAGACACACCUCUCCCCCUCUCACCUUACCCAAGUCUGCCGUCCGGUCUUGACAAUGCAGAUGAAAACCAGCGAGUUGUAUAUCCAUGUCCUCGUUCAGCCACGACUCCGAGAAACAUAGGAUACUACAGUUUUUCAGGACCCGUUGAUAGUAUAGUCUCGAACAGAGAUUAUACGGGUUUUCUCCAGUGACUGCACGUUUGCCAACAAAACAGAGGGCAUUGGUGGUCUACAUGCUCACCGAUGUAAUCUCGCCACCUUCGCUUACCUCUCUUUUGCUGCCGUUUCCUCUUUCGAGUCACGGGGAUCAGGGUCUGGUCCGGGGUAAGUAGAACAUCCAGAGCUGCUGACUCGUUGAAGUAGAAAACUUCAUCCAAAACGAGGUUAGUGAUCUGUGGAGCAGAGCACAAUUACUUUCACUAUUUGCGACUCAUGUCCCGGGCGUGCUGAAUGUAGGAGCGGACUUAUUGUCCAGAGGGAAUCAUCAUCACAGGGAAUGGUAACCAUCCCCAAGUGGUGAAACACGUCUUCUCCUAUAAGCCUCAUACUCCCUACUCUAGUCAGAGUGAGGGAAGAAGGCUCGUUUCUCAUCUUGGCAGCCCCUCGAUGGCCAGGCAAGCUCUGGUUAGCAGAGAUCAUUAUCCUGCUGUACGACGAGCCCUGGCAACUCUCGUUAUACAGGGAUAUUCUGACCCAAGUGAACUGAGACAUUGUCCACCCUCACCUGCAACACCCAUGGCCCUCUGGGCCUGGCCCAUGAGGUUCAAUCUGGAUGUGACAGGCCUGCCUCAUUGAGUCAUUGACUAUACAGAGUACCAGGGCCCCUUCUACACGCCCGCUGCGUGAAAACAAGUGGUGCAUUUUUUUAGAAGUAGUGUGACCAAAAACAGAUAAUUCCUUACCAAUGUCCUGUAUCUGAGGUGUUAUGCUUUUUGCAGGACCUUAUGGACAGGGGGAAGGCUUUAUCCACUGUUAAGGUCUAUCUAGCCGCUAUCUCGGCCUGUCAUAUAGGCUUCAACAAUAACAUGGUGGGAAAACACCCCUUGUUAUGUUGUUUCAUGAAGGGGGCACAUCGCUUACGUCCAGACUUUUUAGCUGCUGGAAAGUGUGGAGAUAUAUGUCCUUUAACACUGUUUUUACAUUUGCAAAGAGAGUGAGUGCCUACAGUUUUCCCGGGGCUUUUCCAAGGUUUCCUUGUUGCCCAACCCUGCCUUGAUGCCUAAGGUCAGGGCAAUAACAAUUUUCUUGCCUUGGAGCUUGUGGUUUUCCACCCACCGCCUUUCCCUUCGACCAAAGAAGGACGGUUCCACCGUUUGUGUCCAGUAUGCGCGUUGCACAUAUAUUUUGGAUAGAACAAGAGCUUUGCGCAAGAGCAACCAACUCUUUGUGUCCUGGGUGCCUCCCUGCAAGGGAAGGCCCUUCUCCCAUCAAUGGUUAUCACAUUGGAUUGUGGAAGCUAUUAUAUUGGGCACUGUUUAACAGGAAUCUCAUUGCAGGAGAUUUACGAUGAGGCUUGUUUGGCAAACCGCUCAAACUUUUAUGAGGUUCUACCGGCUAGACGUGACUGCGCAUUCUUCCGUGCAUACUAUCCAUUCUUCUGAGAGGAUGUGCUAUACGGGAGUUGGCCAUAUCCCACUGUGAGAUAUCAAAACAAGAUAUCUCUGAUAUUAUCAGUGAGAUAUCUCACCACAUUCCCCUGCUCACAAGUGUGAGGAAGUUUGACAUGCUCGAAAAUGACCCGCGGGCAAGUAUCUCUGACAGAUGUGUGUGAUUGGUUCUUCGAGGGCUGUACAAUUGAAAAGUAAACUCACACACCUGUAGUGCUAGAAGGUGCAUGGAGAAAAACUGAAAACACUGAAUAUGAAGCAAAACUCCUGCACACUGGUGAUCCUGAUGCUUCAGAAAAUGUUAUGGAUCUCAUAGGAUAACUGUGCUAUACCAACUCAAUUAUGUUUUAUCAAAUGUUUUAUUGAGUGUAUAUGUUCUGCUAAUCCAGAUGGUAUUGACUUUUUGUGAUUAGUCAUUAGAAAUUAACUAGAAUUUUAAAAUGCAAUGUAUAAUCUAUUCUGCUAUAGUGAGGGCUUUGACAGGUUAUAUUAUCAGGUAAAACUCAGGGCCCUAAGAUGGAUCUUUAUAUGUAUUUUACCCUUCACCAGGCGGACACAUGCGUCCAGAGUGCUGGGAACAGGCUCCAAAGGGCCACCUCGACAGAAGAUGUCCUCUUCUACAGUGCAGACGAGCAUGCCCUUGGGGAGCUUUGCGCUGUCAAGUAAUAUGUCCGAAAAUGGAUUCCGGCUGCCCCGAGUGGAACUAAACAGCCUGGACCAAAACAACUUGGAGCAACAAAGCAGAAUCAGCGAUUCGACAGUAGUCACCAUACAUGAUACUCCAUCACUAGGGAAUACAUAGCAGGCCGCUAACGUAUUGGACAGGUGACAAAGUCAGCAUAUAAUGCUUGAAAAGAAACUCUUUAUUAUGAACAAAGUGGUGCUAUAAGAACGCAAUGAAUAUGCAUGGACACUCCUGUGGACAUAAACAAUUGCUUUCUUGACUACAGUGUUCAGAACAUGGACAAAAUUAUCCUGCUGUCUGUGCAUUUGCAGCUGUGCUACCAACAACCGUGAGGAUAAGCGUUGGAGGAGAGAUGUGUACAAGAUUUACGGCAUGAACAUGGUAUCAUGUCUAGUUUUUCUGUGUGCGUACAUUUCUGUGAGGGACUUGUUCACAGGGUUUUACAUUUAUUCACAUUAUUCUGAUGUAAGAUUAUUAUUCUUUCUUUUUUAUCUGAAUAAUGUUGUUGUGGUUUUCAGGAAAAAUCAUGAGAAUGUUUCUGUGAAAAGUCGAUACUGGUUUGAAUCCCUGUGGAGAUCUAGAUAGCAUACAAUUAUGAAAUAAUAAGUCCCAAUUAGUUUGAUUCCAAAGGAUUUUGCACUUUUCACUCACCCUAUCCUGUGAUUAUUUUUGCUUGUGGUUAUUUCAUUGAAAUAAAUAUUGAAAAUAAAUAUUGAUAUUUCUAAAAA